UCAAUAAGCGGAGGAAAAGAAACCAACAGGGAUUGCCCUAGUAACGGCGAGUGAAGCGGCAACAGCUCAAAUUUGAAAUCUGGCGCAAGCCCGAGUUGUAAUUUGUAGAGGAUGCUUCUGGGCAGCGGCCGGUCUAAGUUCCUUGGAACAGGACGUCACAGAGGGUGAGAAUCCCGUACGUGACCGGCGCGCACCCUCCACGUAGCUCCUUCGACGAGUCGAGUUGUUUGGGAAUGCAGCUCUAAAUGGGAGGUAAAUUUCUUCUAAAGCUAAAUACCGGCCAGAGACCGAUAGCGCACAAGUAGAGUGAUCGAAAGAUGAAAAGCACUUUGGAAAGAGAGUUAAAAAGCACGUGAAAUUGUUGAAAGGGAAGCGCUUGCAACCAGACUCCGCGACGGUGUUCCGCCGGUCUUCUGACCGGUCUACUCGCCGCCGCGGGGCCAACAUCGUCUGGGGCCGCCGGAUAAGACUGUAGGAAUGUGGCUCCCUCGGGAGUGUUAUAGCCUUCAGUGAUGCGGCGCGUCUCGGGCGAGGUCCGCGCUUCGGCAAGGAUGUUGGCGUAAUGGUUGCCAGCGGCCCGUCUUGAAACACGGACCAAGGAGUCUAACAUCUAUGCGAGUGUUCGGGUGUCAAACCCCUACGCGUAAUGAAAGUGAACGGAGGUGGGAGCUUCGGCGCACCAUCGACCGAUCCUGAUGUCCUCGGAUGGAUUUGAGUAAGAGCAUAGCUGUUGGGACCCGAAAGAUGGUGAACUAUGCCUGAAUAGGGUGAAGCCAGAGGAAACUCUGGUGGAGGCUCGCAGCGGUUCUGACGUGCAAAUCGAUCGUCAAAUUUGGGUAUAGGGGCGAAAGACUAAUCGAACCAUCUAGUAGCUGGGUUCCUGCCGAU
rnacentral:rRNA from 1 species